rnacentral:lncRNA from 1 species
UAUUAUUAAACAUGGAUAUUCUCUUUUUAAGGUACAAAGUGGACGAAAAAUUCCAUAUACUUUUAAUGACAUAACAAAACAAUAUACCCCUCUCGUUUCAUGGAAGGAGAAGUGUUGCUGAUUUGUAAGAAAGAGCUGCCAUUAGCUGCUACUGUAUGCCCAUCUACAUUCUUGCUUCCAUUUUUCUCCUCGCUUCACUCGAAGAUAACAUGUGUAAUUUAGGAUGAACAUGUGCGAAGAUAGCAAUCAGCCAGCUAGAGAAAAUUGAUCUGGAAAUUUUUUUCCAAACUUAUAACGUAAGGCAUAUUCGACUGCUAACAAAUCCCUUAGUCAAGAAAUCAACCAUAUCAAUUGUUAUUGGAAAGAGACUAAGAAAUAGAAGUCCGCCCCAACACCUAUCGUCGAUUGUGUCGGUGUUGGUGUUGCUUUGGAAUACGAAGCGGGGAACCCUUGUUCGUCAAUAAAGACAGCCAAUUGCCGAUGUUGAACUGAGCAACAUAUUGCAUGCUUUUACAUUAGUAAAGCGAUAUAAAUUUAAAUACGAUGAAACUGUUGGUAAUGUGUAAGAGAAGAUCAUAAGCCCAGCCACAUAUUAGCACUUACGUGAUCGGACCAUGCACCGUCCAUGUCUAAUCUCUUCAAUAGUACAUGCGCAGGUGUCCUGUCAGACCCCACAUGAGAGGACCUAGCUUCUGCUACCUGUCCUGCCUACUUCUAUGACUAUGCCCUACCUGUCCAUAGGGGCAACGCCAUUAGCACGUACGGCCGAAUGAAAACCGCAGCAGAACAGUUUUAAGGGACAUAGAUAGGAAAAUAACCUUUAUUACAAUGAAAACCUAAAUCUUACCUACUAAUACUAAUAAAGCAAAUAUUGCUUCUGCCGUACGUCAUUUAAAUUGCUCCUAAAGUUGAUUAAAAUUACCCACCAAUGCCAUCUAUAAGUCAUAAAAAAACGUUUCAAACAGGAAAAUCUCCGGACUGGGCCACCCAUGUAGGCACCUCCUAUAUUACGUUCUGGCCGUUGGAAAAAGAUGUAGCACACCUAUUUGGGCCGGCCCAUGCGUGGGUGUCUGUUUUUUUGGUUUAGUUCUUUUAUUUUUCUUUUCAGUUCCAUUUUGUUUUUGUACUUUAAAUAAUUUAAAACUUCAAAUAACUUUUCUAAAAUUUAAGAAACUGAGAAUUUCGAAAUAAAAUAUUCAAAAAAAACAUAUUUUUUUGAGAAUUCAAAAACUACUGAGGAGUUUUGGAAAAUGUUUGCAUAUACAAAAAAAUGUUUAAAUUUUGAGAAAAUGUCCAUAAAAUAUAAAAUUCAAUGAUUUUAAACAAAAGUCCGUGUAAAAAUCUUAAAAACAAUUUGUGCCUCUGUUUUUAGUCUCGUUUUUUAUUUUAAUUUUUCUGUUCCAUUUUUUAAUUUAAAUAAUUUAGAACUUUUGAAAACUUUUGCAAUUUAUAAAACUGAGAAUUUUGAAAUAAAAGUUUGAAGAAAACAUAAAAUGUUUGUGAAUUCAAAAAAUGCUCGGGGUUUUUGUAAAAAUAUUCGCAUAUUCAGAAAAAUGUUCAUAAUUUUGAGAAAAAUGUUGGUGAAAACAAUAAAAGUCCGUGAUUUUCAAAACAAAAUUGUGUAUUAUUUUUUGAGUGCAAUUGAAAAAAAUGUUUGCUAAUUCAAAAAAUGUUCAUGCAUUUCAAAAAUGUCCUAAAAUUUUAAAGACAUAAUAUGAUUAGCGCCAUUGGAAAUUUAAUUAUUUUUCUCCCGUUGCAACGCACGGACACUUUUGCUAGUUUAUAUAGAAAGCACAAAAUAUGUUGCCAUGAAAUCAAUCACGUACUGGAUGGCCUGGUAGAGGGCACUAUUGAAGUCUGCCGUUGCUGCACGACAGAGAGCCAGAGAUUAGGUAAGGGUGGCGAUGAUAUGCUGCUGAACAUGUUGUUGUCCAGGCAAGGGCAAAACGGCUUCGUGGCGCAGCAGCAACAGUAAGACAUCACUCAAAUCAGCAAAGAAAUAAAUAGAUCGAUCUAGCUCCUAGCCUGUGUGAUGUACGCAUCAGCAGAAGAGUUGGCACAAAAUAGAUUUGAUCUAUAUCCGCAAACGAAUAGAUCGAUCUAACCCAUUGGUCAAACGCAAGUCUGAGAGAUUGGGAUACCUGACGGCAUAGGAGAACGGCAGAUCAAUUGGGUGACCUUGAGGAGAAGAACCCACUACGGAUGAAACCCAAAGGCAGUCAUGGGCUCAUGGGAAGGGCGCGCGUGAGGCCGGGAAGCCUGGACGAUCAUCGCUCCUGAGGACGGCAAGCCUGGACGAUCAGCGAUCUAUGAAGAUUAUCUCUUUACACGUAGAGAUGGCACCUGCCGGGUUUGGGUGCGGGUGGAGUCACCCCAUACCCUUACCCGUCGUCCCAAAUCUUACCCAUCAC